GGCGAACCACCCCUGUCACAAUGGGCACCAAAGAAUUGUGAUGGAAUGAGCGCAGCUCCCUCCAGGGAUGCCGGCGCACUUUUAGAACUUACACGACUUUCGGCAAUGGAUAUCUCGGCUCUCGCAUCGAUGAAGAACGUAGCAAAAUGCGAUACUUAGUAUGAAUUACAGAAUCUCGUGAACCAUCCACUCUUUGAACGCAAGUUACGCCCAAGGCCACCAGGCCAAGGGCACGCCUGCCUGGGUUUCAUGCACUGUGUUGCCCCACUCGGCACUCUCCCCAUCCGGUAGCGGCGCUGGGGGGCUGAAAAGCAUUCACUCCCCCGCCAGGGCGCGGACGCAACAAUAGGUAAUUUGAUAGGCGGUUGCCUCGUCGGAGCC
rnacentral:misc_RNA from 1 species